rnacentral:rRNA from 1 species
UACGUAGGGUGCAAGCAUUAUCCGGAAUGACUGGGCGUAAAGAGUUGCGUAGGUGGUUUGUAAAGUGAAUAGUGAAAGCCGACGGCUCAACCGUACGGAUUAUUGUUCAAACUCACAAACUCGAGAGUGGUAGAGGUAACUGGAAUUUCUUGUGUAGGAGUGAAAUCCGUAGAUAUAAGAAGGAACACCAAUGGCGUAGGCAGGUUACUGGACCAUUUCUGACACUGAGGCACGAAAGCGUGGGGAGCGA